rnacentral:rRNA from 1 species
GUCCAGCCUGCCCAGUGAUAUAAUUCAACGGCCGCGGUACCCUAACCGUGCGAAGGUAGCAUAAUCACUUGUUCUUUAAAUAAGGACUUGUAUCAACGGCAUCACGAGGACUGUACUGUCUCCUUUCUCCAAUCAGUGAAACUGAUCUCCCCGUGAAGAAGCGGGGAUUAACCUAUAAGACGAGAAGACCCCAUGGAGCUUAAAGCCCACACAACUCUAUGCAUUUAAAUCAAUAUAGCCCAAGAAACCUGCAAACGGCUUUAGGUUGGGGGGACCGCGGAGUAAAACCUAACCUCCACGACAAACGGGCAUACGCCCUUAUCCAAGAAUGACAAUUCUAAGAAUCAAUAAACUGAUGUUUAAUGACCCGAUUAUUCGAUCAACGAACCAAGUUACCCUGGGGAUAACAGCGCAAUCUACUUCAAGAGCCCCUAUCAACAAGUAGGUUUACGACCUCGAUGUUGGAUCAGGGUAUCCUAGUGGUGCAGCCGCUACUAAAGGUUCGUUUGUUCAACGAUUAAAACCCUACGUGAUCUGAG